GAUGAAGAACGUAGCGAAAUGCGAUAAGUAAUGUGAAUUGCAGAAUUCAGUGAAUCAUCGAAUCUUUGAACGCACAUUGCGCCCGCCAGUAUUCUGGCGGGCAUGCCUGUUCGAGCGUCAUUUCAACCCUCGGGCCCCGCACUCGUGCGGGCUCCGGCGUUGGGGACCGGCCCCCGCAUCGGACGGCCCCCCCCGAAACCCAGUGGCGGUCCCGCCGCGGCCUUCUCUGCGUAGUUGCAUACACCUCGCUCUGGAGAGCGGCGCGGCCACGCCGUAAAAGAAACGAACUUUCUCAAGGUUGACCUCGGAUCAGGUAGGAAUACCCGCUGAACUUAAGCAUAUCAAUAAGCGGAGGA
rnacentral:misc_RNA from 1 species